GAUGAAGAACGUAGCGAAAUGCGAUAAGUAAUGUGAAUUGCAGAAUUCAGUGAAUCAUCGAAUCUUUGAACGCACAUUGCGCCCGCCAGUAUUCUGGCGGGCAUGCCUGUUCGAGCGUCAUUUCAACCCUCAAGACCCCUUCGGGGGACUUGGUGUUGGGGACCGGCACAGGGGCCUGCCUGCUUGUCUUGCAGCGCCCUCGCCGCCCCCGAAAUGAAUUGGCGGCCUCGUCGCGGCCUCCCCUGCGUAGUAGCACAAACCUCGCAACGGGAACGUGACGGCGGCAACUGCCGUAAAACAACCCAAUUUUAUUAGAGUUGACCUCGAAUCAGGUAGGAAUACCCGCUGAACUUAAGCAUAUCAAUAAGCGGAGGA
rnacentral:misc_RNA from 1 species